CACGUAGGGGGCAAGCGUUGUCCGGAUUUAUUGGGCGUAAAGAGCUCGUAGGUGGUUCGGUAAGUCGGGUGUUAAACCCCCAGGCUCAACCUGGGGACGCCACUCGAUACUGCUGUGACUUGAGUCCGGUAGGGGAGCGUGGAAUUCCUUGUGUAGCGGUGAAAUGCGCAGAUAUCAGGAGGAACACCAGCGGCGAAGGCGGCGCUCUGGGCCGGUACUGACACUGAGGAGCGAAAGCGUGGGUAGCAAACAGG
rnacentral:rRNA from 1 species